rnacentral:rRNA from 1 species
AUUGAACGCUGGCGGCAUGCUUUACACAUGCAAGUCGAACGGUAACAGGCCUUCGGGUGCUGACGAGUGGCGAACGGGUGCGUAAUGCAUCGGAACGUACCCAGAGGUGGGGGAUAACGCAGCGAAAGCUGUGCUAACACCGCAUGUGAUCUGAGGAUGAAAGCGGGGGACCGAGCAGCAAUGUUUGGCCUCGCGCCUUUGGAGCGGCCGAUGUCGGAUUAGCUAGUUGGUGGGGUAAAGGCCUACCAAGGCGACGAUCCGUAGCUGGUCUGAGAGGACGACCAGCCACACUGGGACUGAGACACGGCCCAGACUCCUACGGGAGGCAGCAGUGGGGAAUUUUGGACAAUGGGCGCAAGCCUGAUCCAGCAAUGCCGCGUGCGGGAAGAAGGCCUUCGGGUUGUAAACCGCUUUUGGCAGGAACGAAACGGUGUCCGCUAAUACCGGGCGCUAAUGACGGUACCUGCAGAAUAAGCACCGGCUAACUACGUG